rnacentral:tRNA from 1 species
GCCUUUGUGGUGUAAUGGUCAGCACACUCGGCUCGUAUUCGAGAGGUUCGAGUCCCGGCAAGGGCG